GAUGAACGCUGGCGGCGUGCCUAAUACAUGCAAGUCGAGCGAACAGACGAGGAGCUUGCUCCUCUGACGUUAGCCGCGGACGGGUGAGUAACACGUGGAUAACCUACUUAUAAGACUGGGAUAACUUCGGGAAACCGGCGCUAAUACCGGAUAAUAUAUUGAACCGUAUUGUUCAAUAGUGAAAGACGGUUUUGCUGUCUCUAAUAGAUGGAUCCGCGCCGCAUUAGCUAGUUGGUAAGGUAACGGCUUACCAAGGCUACGAUGCGUAGCCGACCUGAGGGGGUGAUCGGCCACACUGGAACUGAGACACGGUCCAGACUCCUACGGGAGGCAGCAGUAGGGAAUCUUCCGCAAUGGGCGAAAGCCUGACGGAGCAACGCCGCGUGAGUGAUGAAGGUCUUCGGAUCGUAAAACUCUGUUAUUAGGGAAGAACAAAUGUGUAAGUAACUAUGCACGUCUUGACGGUACCUAAUCAGAAAGCCACGGCUAACUACGUG
rnacentral:rRNA from 1 species